rnacentral:rRNA from 1 species
UGCGCAGGCGGUUGUGUAAGACAGAUGUGAAAUGCCCGGGCUUAACCUGGGAACUGCAUUUGUGACUGCACGGCUAGAAUCUGGCAGAGGGGGGUAGAAUUCCACGUGUAGCAGUGAAAUGCGUAGAUAUGUGGAGGAAUACCGAUGGCGAAGGCAGCCCCCUGGGCCAAGAUUGACGCUCAUGCACGAAAGCGUGGGGAGCAAACAGGAUUAGAUACCCUGGUAGUCCACGCCCUAAACGAUGUCUACUAGUUGUCGGGUCUUAAUUGACUUGGUAACGCAGCUAACGCGUGAAGUAGACCGCCUGGGGAGUACGGUCGCAAGAUUAAA